AGCACGGGUCCUCCAUGCACAGGGUGAGGUGGCCUUUUAUUUUGCAGAGGCGCUGGCAUUUGGCUGGCAGAUCAAUUAAACAUUAAUCUGAAAAGAAUAAAGAGGUUGCAUCGGAGAUUUGAAAACAGUAGGAAUGGCAGUCUUGUGAAUCAUAAGUUGGUUGAACACUGAAUCUAGAGGAGAAAUCAUAACAUGUAACGUGGUUUCUGCCAAUGAAUAAUGUAUUUAAUAUGACAACAAAAGCAAUGUACAUUCAUGUAAAGGAAGAAAUAUUAGAAAAAUAGUGAGAAUCGGUGGAAUGGCCUGGUUAAGUUCUUAGGGAGAUCUUGAUUUGCCAUCCACUUUCGAAAAUAAAAGGCUCUCUGCAUCCAUUCUGCAUACACAUGUGGAAGUUAUUUGAUUUGUAUCUGAUUUACAGCUGGGUGGAGAUGAUGGCUCCUGUGUUCUCAAGAGCUGCUUGGCGUUGUGUAUGGCAUAUGAUCCAGGUACGUGACAGUUAAUAUCAACCAAAUAUUAUUCUCAACCAGGCUUGUUCAAAAUUAUAUAAUCUGAGCACCUACCAUCUACAUUUAUAUCUUGUUUUCUUUAAUUCAGAAUGAUCUGAUUCAUGCAUGGGGUCUGGACUACAAGCUUGGCUAUUGUGCCCAGGUGAUGCUUUAACCAUGAUUUCCAUGUAUAUCUCUGAAGUAAGAAAGAACAUCUGACCACUUUUUGCAGGGUGAACGCUCUAAAACCAUCGGUGUGGUGGAUGCUGAGUAUAUUGUCCACAAGGGUAUUCCUACACUGGGAGGUUUUGAUCUCUACAAGGUAUGGAUUUGAUUUUUGGGUGCUAGUUUUUGCAUCACCUUUAGCCUUGCGAGUGCAACGGAUUCAGUAUCAUUUUCCAUUAAAAUGUUUUUCAGUGGUGAUUUUUCACAGCCAUGUGUCAGGUCAUUUCUCAUGAACCCAGUUGGUGACCAGACUUUUUUAAAGGAUUAUCCUCCUCUAUAACACGCUCAACUUCGUUUGGAGUUAACUCAUAUGAUUUAUAUUGCCUUGUGUAUGAGAAUUUAUCUUAGCAAAUAAAAUAUUCUAUAAGGUUGCCUUCCAUAAGCCCUUUCAUUGAUAAGAAUGCUGCCUAUCACGCAGUUAGCUCCAGAGCAAGCACCCAGUUCUCAUACUCAGGUGAAAGAUUCAUCUGACUCGAAAAAGCAGGUAUGCAAUUCUAAACUAUCUCACCUUAGAUUUAUCCCUUUUUUGUGUAAUUUUCUGAUAUAUUUCUCCCUACAGGUUCCAUCUGGAACAUCCUACGGCAAUGAAGAUAGGUUAAAUGUAAGCAGUAAUUAAAUCGCGAGUGUGCUACUGUUAUUUCAGAUAUUUUAUUUGCCGUUUCAAUCUUUCAGCUUUCUAGGGUUCUUAUCUCUUACGAUGACAAACAUUGAAAGCUUUUAGACCUCGCUUUUUCUAUUCCAACUCAUUCUAAUAUUAGUUGGUGUGGAGUUCUGCAUGUAGUGGCUGAUAUAGAUUUUAUAAAAUCAUCAGAAAAAUUGUGUUUAUUGUCCGAAGCAUGCAAUCUGACUACCAUAUUAUAAUCCCAAGAAAGCACUGAAAGGAUUUAUCUUACUCAGAAUAUGCUAAAUGACUGGACUAAAGAGCCGAUGACUGCUAUCUUUCUCCCUCCCUUCCAAUGAACUCCACACAUAAUCUUGCAGGUAAGACUGCGAUCAGCAGCCGAAUUGGAGAUUUUCAAGGAGAGGUGGAGUGAUGCAGUUGAUGAAGACGAAUGCUGGACAGAUCCAUAUCCGGAAAAGAUUAAGUGAAACACUGACGCCAAGCAUACUCUGAAAUUUCUUCUACUGAUCCCUCGUUCACAAUGAACUCCACACAUCUUCACAUCCAUUCAUGGAACCCCUAUGCGACCACUGGUCACGGGUGAGACGAGUAUAUAUGAUAGAUAUGCUCUUGGGUCGGUCAUGCUAAGCCGUAUAGAGAGGAGUUGCAGGCCACCCACACUUCACAAAAUUGUGGGAUCUCAUUUUUCGGUUGCUCAGGGGUUCUUAUCACACACAUAUACAUGCUACUAAAUCAGGUAUUCCUUCACAAUGGUUCAUAAGGUCUUGGCCAAGUCUUCACUGAGGCUCUUUGUUGCUGCCUCACUGUAAGGUCCGUACAUUAUCUAUCUCCUGUCAACAUUAAUUCCAUAGUUCGGUCUUGACGAAUCUACAGAGAAACAUGCAUUGCUUUUUUUUUUCUUCCUCCGGAAACAGGCGCCAUCUACAGGUCUUUAUUGUCACAAAGUGGAAAUAUUGUAAGAUCAUCCCUUUUUAUUGCAAUAAAUAUGUUUCCCCAUGGCAAUUAUAGUCCGGUGAGUAAAGUGACGCUACCAGAAUGCAGUUUUGGUGGUUCCUGAACAUUUAGCUGUAUAUCAUUACUGUGUAUAUCUGAAGCACUGAUGAUCUUGAUCACUGCCCCUACAUAAUUUAUUCUUCAGUGGUUACUCUUCAAUCACUUGAUUAUGUGAUAAUCAGAUAAUUUCUUGGAUAUAUGUGAUCCUGAAUGGCUGGGUCACAGAAAAAAAACAUAAUUUACUUAAUUCUCAUACAAGCCUAAACCCCGGACAGAUUUUAUCUCAUAACCGCAUGGAUUGGAACUCUAGCAUUUCUUGUAACAAUGCCAGAAAGGCCCCGUUGAAAAUUGUUUCUUUUUCUGGAUCAAAAUGCCAUGGAAAGAGGAGCGCAGAAGGUACCACCUACUUGAAUAAUUAGCAUAUAUGUUCUUCACACUUUAUACGCUCUCGGUGUAAUCUUCCCCUUUAAUCUGUCAUCCACCAGCCUGUAAUUCAUUUUCCUUGUAAAAAAAUCUUUAUGGAUAGGCCUUUCAUAAAAUUAUAAACGAAUGAUCACCUUCAUAAGGAAUAUAUUAAUGUAGACGCGCAAACAAUCACCCGCUUCGUUGAAAUCUCUAUUAAACCCUUGGAUGAAAUGACAAAGGCACCACAGCAAUGAAAUGGUCUACGAACCUUUGGAGAUCUGCUUCCCGAGGAGACCGAUGGCCAGAUCCGAGAUUCUCCUUUCCUGGAACAACGACCUUUGAGGGCCUGAAACUCUCCCCCCGCAAGUAGGAAUGCGAUCUGCAAUCGAUCCGGCCGUGAUCACCAAAUCAAUUGGAACCAGGAGGCGGGAACGGAGACCUGGCUUUCAAGAGGUAGACGGAUCGCAGAAGCCUGAUGUUCGUUCCUUCUCGGCUUCAACGUCCGAUCAGUUGCCUCAUCAGAUGAAGACGCAGAAACACAAUUCGCCAACUGGAUCGAAGCCCUCGUUGGCCCCGUUCAAGCCCCGAGGGAGGAGGAAGAAGAGGCAGAAAUUGGAUUCUCUGUCGCCGCCGUCGAUUGCCCAGAAGCUCUAUGAGAAAAUGCCGAAGC
rnacentral:lncRNA from 1 species